AGCGAACGCUGGCGGCAGGCUUAACACAUGCAAGUCGAGCGGGCGUAGCAAUACGUCAGCGGCAGACGGGUGAGUAACGCGUGGGAACAUACCUUUUGGUUCGGAACAACACAGGGAAACUUGUGCUAAUACCGGAUAAGCCCUUACGGGGAAAGAUUUAUCGCCGAAAGAUUGGCCCGCGUCUGAUUAGCUAGUUGGUGAGGUAAUGGCUCACCAAGGCGACGAUCAGUAGCUGGUCUGAGAGGAUGAUCAGCCACAUUGGGACUGAGACACGGCCCAAACUCCUACGGGAGGCAGCAGUGGGGAAUAUUGGACAAUGGGGGCAACCCUGAUCCAGCCAUGCCGCGUGAGUGAUGAAGGCCCUAGGGUUGUAAAGCUCUUUUGUGCGGGAAGAUAAUGACGGUACCGCAAGAAUAAGCCCCGGCUAACUUCGUG
rnacentral:rRNA from 1 species